rnacentral:rRNA from 1 species
AAUCAACGCUGGCGGCGUGCCUCAGACAUGCAAGUCGAACGCGAAAGUUUCCUUCGGGGAGCGAGUAGAGUGGCGCACGGGUGAGUAACACGUAGGUAAUCUACCUUCGGAUGGGGAAUAACAAUCGGAAACGGUUGCUAAUACCGCAUAAUGCAGCGGCACCUAAUGGUGACAGUUGUUAAAGCGGGGGAUCGUAAGACCUCGCGUCUGAAGAGGAGCCUGCGGCGGAUUAGCUUGUUGGUAAGGUAAUGGCUUACCAAGGCGACGAUCCGUAACCGGCCUGAGAGGGCGGUCGGUCACACUGACACUGACAUACGGGUCAGACUCCUACGGAGGCAGCAGUCGGGAAUUUUGGGCAAUGGGCGAAAGCCUGACCCAG